rnacentral:rRNA from 1 species
UACAGAGGUCCCAAGCGUUGUUCGGAUUCACUGGGCGUAAAGGGUGCGCAGGUGGGUUUGCAAGUUCGAUGUGAAAGCCCCGGGCUUAACCCGGGAAUGGCAUUGGAUACUGCAGAUCUGGAGGAUCGGAGGGGGGACUGGAAUUCUUGGUGUAGCAGUGAAAUGCGUAGAUAUCGGGAGGAACACCAGUGGCGAAGGCGGCACUCUGGGCCGGAACUGACGCUGAGGAGCGAAAGCGUGGGGAGCGAACAGG